rnacentral:sRNA from 1 species
CAAUCAUUAUUUUUCCAAAUUUCUUAAAUAUACAAGCGAUGAAAUUAAGAAAAAAUAAACCGGUGAUUUUUCCACAAAAAAACAUAAAUCCGUUAUUUUCCCGCCAAAAACGUAAACCCAUGAUUUUCCCGCCAAAAACGUAAACCCGUAAUUUUCCUGCCAAAAACCUAAACCCGUAAUUUUCCCGCCAAAAACGUAAACCCGUGAUUUUCCGCCAAAAACGUAAAUCCGUGAUUUUCCCGCAAAAACGUAAAUCCGUGAUUUUCCCGCAAAAAACGAAAACCCGUGAUUUUCCCGCCAAAAACGAAAAACCCGUGAUUUUCCCGCCAAAAACGUAAACCCGUAAUUUUCUCGCCAAAAACUUAAACCCAUAAUCUUCCCGCAAAAAAUGUAAACCCGUGAUUUUUCUGCUAAAAAAGUAAACCCGUAAUUUUUCCGCCGAAAACGUAAACUCGUAAAAAGUGAAAUCCGUAAAUAUCCUAAGUUUGAUGAUAGUGAAUUAAUAAUUAUUAAUAAUGGUAAUUAUUUAUUAUUGUUUAAUAAU